AAAUUUAUGUGAUGCCAAUAAAAUAUGGGUAAACUUCAAAAACUACUCUUGUCCUUUCACAUUUUCUCACUUUAACAUUCUGUGAUUUAAAGUGUAUCAAUUUAGUAUCUUGUGAUUUUAUUUUUAUCAUUUUAUCAUUUUAUCAGCUCAUUCGUUAAUAUUUUAUUAAAUUAUAUACAAAAGACUUCAGAUACCCUACCUAGAAUAGGUUUAUCGAAUAUUCACUUUAGUACUUUUUAGUUUUAAUUUUGUCACUGAUUUAACAAAAAAAAUUAGUGGAGAGGAUAGUAAAAGGAGAAAAAAAUAAAAUUACGGAAUACUAAAUUAAUACACUUUAAACCACAUGAUACUAAAAUAAAAAAGUGUGAAACCAUAGAGGUGGUAUUUGAAGUUUUUUUUAUAAAAUAUCAACACGAUACAGUCGUUGUAUUAAUGACACAAUUCAAAAUUCUCUUUUUUAAAAUUAAUAAGUAAUUUUUUCAAUAAUGCUCAAAGAAUUGGUAAAUAUAUAUAAUAAAGAAUUAUAAUACUUUGUUGCUAAAAAAAAUAAAUAUUUCAUGCUAUUAUGUAUCGACGUAUAUAUAUUUUUGUGAUGGAAAUGCAUUGAUAUGGUCCGACAUACAUUGUGUUAGCAAGUUUUUAGCACAAUUCUAUGUCACGAUACUUAAAUUUUUAUUACGAAUCAUUUUGAUUUAAUAAUCUAACAUCUUAAAAUUUUAAUUUUGCUUUCUAAUUUUUUAAUUUAUUUGAUUUAAGCCAGUCAACAGCACAUUAGCUUCAAAUUUAACUUGAUUGUUUAUUUUAAUAAAUUUAUCAUUGCGAGAAUUAUAUAAAAAUUACUAAUUAAAUCUACAAAGAUAACGACACAUUUAUUUUUUUUUUUUUGAGAGAAAAGGUAGUAUGCUCUCUGCUUUGCUCAUUUUCGACGCAUUCAAAUUUUGAAAUAAAAGUGUCGUUGAUAGAUUCAAAACAAACAAAUUGAAAGAAUGAGUAGUAAAAUUUGAAUUUUGAAAUAUUGGAUAACGGAGUCAAAAUGAUACAGUUCAAAUAAGUUUGCUACAUUUUUAUCUUAGAUAUUUU
rnacentral:lncRNA from 1 species